UAGACUCAGAAAAGCGUUUCAGUAGCUAAUUUAUGGAACCUUAGUAAACAUUUCAAUGAAUGUAAAGAAAAUGUAUCUAUUACAGAUGGACUGUCUGGAGAAUGUUUUGCUGUGGAGCCAAUGGGAAACCACUGAAGUUAACAGAAGAUCUUACCUCAUUGUAUUUGUGGUACAGCUCCAGUAGAAGUAGCAAGAAUGCCCCUGUGCCCUGCAUAAUCUAUAGACCUGACUGUUAGCUCACUCUCUUUGUAGUCAGAAGAUGCAGGCAUAGCAUGCCUCAGGAAAGGAGAAAAGUGGGCAUGGAUCUCCUGCUUGCAGGAUAUCUAAUUGAGAUGUCAGCUGGAGUUCCUAAUGAUCAGUUGUGAUCCAUGUUCAUGUGGGAAAACAAAGAAAAUAGAAAUCUGGGAAACGAAUCUCCCCGUCCUUUUUCAUCCUGAUUGUGUGAAAUAUUGUCUAACUAAGCACACAGUUGGAGAGAGAAACUGGUGAGGCGUGACGCCAGUGCCAGACAAACACCAGCUUUUGAAACCCGUGGCAUCUUUUGCACGCUACAGCUGACUCGGCUUUAGCGCCGCUUCCUGCUUAAAGCUAUGACCCAGAGAAAAGCAGGAAAACUGCAGCGGAGAAGAAACUUGGUGUACGAAAUCCACCAGCUGCAAAGUCUCGAUGAUCAACUCACUUCCGUAACUAGCAGUAACAAGUAAGCGUCUGUUUUCAGAGAUAAGGUCCGCGUACCUAGGCUGUGCAGCACGGCGCCGCCAGGUAACGAACCGCC
rnacentral:lncRNA from 1 species